rnacentral:sRNA from 1 species
UUAAUCAUUCAUUUAAAUCACACACAUUUCGUCACGUUUUCCGGGGUGCUUCCGUGCAGGUCACGAAAGUCGGAAAUACGGGGAAUGUGGAGGCCUAAC